CGGGACACGUGGUAUCCUGUCUGAAUAUGGGGGGACCAUCCUCCAAGGCUAAAUACUCCUGACUGACCGAUAGUGAACCAGUACCGUGAGGGAAAGGCGAAAAGAACCCCGGCGAGGGGAGUGAAAAAGAACCUGAAACCGUGUACGUACAAGCAGUGGGAGCACGCUUAGGCGUGUGACUGCGUACCUUUUGUAUAAUGGGUCAGCGACUUAUAUUCUGUAGCAAGGUUAACCGAAUAGGGGAGCCGAAGGGAAACCGAGUCUUAACUGGGCGUUAAGUUGCAGGGUAUAGACCCGAAACCCGGUGAUCUAGCCAUGGGCAGGUUGAAGGUUGGGUAACACUAACUGGAGGACCGAACCGACUAAUGUUGAAAAAUUAGCGGAUGACUUGUGGCUGGGGGUGAAAGGCCAAUCAAACCGGGAGAUAGCUGGUUCUCCCCGAAAGCUAUUUAGGUAGCGCCUCGUGAAUUCAUCUCCGGGGGUAGAGCACUGUUUCGGCAAGGGGGUCAUCCCGACUUACCAACCCGAUGCAAACUGCGAAUACCGGAGAAUGUUAUCACGGGAGACACACGGCGGGUGCUAACGUCCGUCGUGAAGAGGGAAACAACCCAGACCGCCAGCUAAGGUCCCAAAGUCAUGGUUAAGUGGGAAACGAUGUGGGAAGGCCCAGACAGCCAGGAUGUUGGCUUAGAAGCAGCCAUCAUUUAAAGAAAGCGUAAUAGCUCACUGGUCGAGUCGGCCUGCGCGGAAGAUGUAACGGGGCUAAACCAUGCACCGAAGCUGCGGCAGCGACGCUGAUGCGUUGUUGGGUAGGGGAGCGUUCUGUAAGCCUGUGAAGGUGUGCUGUGAGGCAUGCUGGAGGUAUCAGAAGUGCGAAUGCUGACAUAAGUAACGAUAAAGCGGGUGAAAAGCCCGCUCGCCGGAAGACCAAGGGUUCCUGUCCAACGUUAAUCGGGGCAGGGUGAGUCGACCCCUAAGGCGAGGCCGAAAGGCGUAGUCGAUGGGAAACAGGUUAAUAUUCCUGUACUUGGUGUUACUGCGAAGGGGGGACGGAGAAGGCUAUGUUGGCCGGGCGACGGUUGUCCCGGUUUAAGCGUGUAGGCUGGUUUUCCAGGCAAAUCCGGAAAAUCAAGGCUGAGGCGUGAUGACGAGGCACUACGGUGCUGAAGCAACAAAUGCCCUGCUUCCAGGAAAAGCCUCUAAGCAUCAGGUAACAUCAAAUCGUACCCCAAACCGACACAGGUGGUCAGGUAGAGAAUACCAAGGCGCUUGAGAGAACUCGGGUGAAGGAACUAGGCAAAAUGGUGCCGUAACUUCGGGAGAAGGCACGCUGAUAUGUAGGUGAAGCGACUUGCUCGUGGAGCUGAAAUCAGUCGAAGAUACCAGCUGGCUGCAACUGUUUAUUAAAAACACAGCACUGUGCAAACACGAAAGUGGACGUAUACGGUGUGACGCCUGCCCGGUGCCGGAAGGUUAAUUGAUGGGGUCAGCGCAAGCGAAGCUCUUGAUCGAAGCCCCGGUAAACGGCGGCCGUAACUAUAACGGUCCUAAGGUAGCGAAAUUCCUUGUCGGGUAAGUUCCGACCUGCACGAAUGGCGUAAUGAUGGCCAGGCUGUCUCCACCCGAGACUCAGUGAAAUUGAACUCGCUGUGAAGAUGCAGUGUACCCGCGGCAAGACGGAAAGACCCCGUGAACCUUUACUAUAGCUUGACACUGAACAUUGAGCCUUGAUGUGUAGGAUAGGUGGGAGGCUUUGAAGUGUGGACGCCAGUCUGCAUGGAGCCGGCCUUGAAAUACCACCCUUUAAUGUUUGAUGUUCUAACGUUGACCCGUGAUCCGGGUUGCGGACAGUGUCUGGUGGGUAGUUUGACUGGGGCGGUCUCCUCCUAAAGAGUAACGGAGGAGCACGAAGGUUGGCUAAUCCUGGUCGGACAUCAGGAGGUUAGUGCAAUGGCAUAAGCCAGCUUGACUGCGAGCGUGACGGCGCGAGCAGGUGCGAAAGCAGGUCAUAGUGAUCCGGUGGUUCUGAAUGGAAGGGCCAUCGCUCAACGGAUAAAAGGUACUCCGGGGAUAACAGGCUGAUACCGCCCAAGAGUUCAUAUCGACGGCGGUGUUUGGCACCUCGAUGUC
rnacentral:rRNA from 1 species